AUGGUUAAAAUAGAUCUUGCCAAGGCUUUUGAUAGAAUUGAAUGGGAUUUCAUUGUUAAAGCUCUUACCCGUAAAGGACUGCAUGGUCAUUUCAUAAAUUUAAUUUAUGCUUGCAUGGCUAUCCCCACUUUCUCGGUUAUUAUUAAUGGUCAGUAUGGCCGCUUUCAAAGUAGUAGGGGCAUUAGGCAGGGUUGCCCUCUGUCCCCUUACUUGUUCGUUCUGGCCAUCAAUGAGUUGUCAAUCUCUUUACAGGAAGCCAUGCUCGCCGACCACUUAUCAGGGAUUAUUUUAGGGCCAGGAUGUCCUCCUAUUCACUCAUUAAUGUUUGCUGAUGAUUUACUGAUUUGUGGACAAGCUACAGUUGAAGAAGCUACUCAUAUGCUUCAAAUUCUUCAAAGAUUUUGC
rnacentral:rRNA from 1 species